CUGAACCUCCUCAACAAACCCCAGAGGGACAUGUCCCCAGAGGAGAUGCAGAAGCACGGGGAGGAGGGUCCACUCUGUGCUCCGCAGUCAGUCAAGAACAACACUGAAGUGCUCACCAACUACUGACAACAACAAGCUGCUGGGCUGCGAAGGCCUUGAGUAGACACUGCAACAUGGUGCUGGAGAAUGUGAAGGAGAUGUGUACUGAGGUCCCCAAGGGGGGCAACGGUGGCAAGGGCAAGAAGAAGUCCAAGCCAGCCAACAAAGACCACUUCAUCUCCAAGCUCUUCCUGUGCAGGGACUCAGUCAUCACCAACAAGUGGGGGCCACCUC
rnacentral:lncRNA from 1 species